rnacentral:rRNA from 1 species
AGUGAACGCUGGCGGUAGGCCUAACACAUGCAAGUCGAACGGCAGCACAGUAAGAGCUUGCUCUUACGGGUGGCGAGUGGCGGACGGGUGAGGAAUACAUCGGAAUCUACUUUUUCGUGGGGGAUAACGUAGGGAAACUUACUCUAAUACCGCAUACGACCUACGGGUGAAAGCAGGGGAUCUUCGGACCUUGCGCGAUUGAAUGAGCCGAUGUCGGAUUAGCUAGUUGGCGGGGUAAAGGCCCACCAAGGCGACGAUCUGUAGCUGGUCUGAGAGGAUGAUCAGCCACACUGGAACUGAGACACGGUCCAGACUCCUAAGGGAGGCAGCAGUGGGGAAUAUGAGACAAUGGGCGCAAGCAUGAUCCAGCCAUACCGCGUGGGUGAAGAAGGCCUUCGGGUUGUAAAGCCCUUUUGUUGGGAAAGAAAAGCAGCAGGUUAAUACCCCGCUGUUCUGACGGUACCCAAAGAAUAAGCACCGGCUAACUUCGUG